GCAUUUCUCUGACCUGGUGACACUUAGCCCCGCCUCUGAAAAGUGCAGCCUGGGAUAUAGAUCUUCUGUGCAGUUAAAGUGACUUAAAAGUAUUUCUUUUUGGAAAUCUUCACAGCCAUUCCAGAGAUCAUGACGGACACCUCGGCCCCGUGAAACAGAGCUGAGGAGUUCUGGCUCCCAUAAAGCUGUCUCUGACACCCCAAAGCCAGGCAUUGACUGACCAACAGUCUUUGCCCCCCCCCCCCCCGGGGCAAACCUUCCCGCUGGUGUCUCCGCCCCUCUGGAACCCCCACUUCCUCCUUGUCCUCCUCCCACCCGGGAGGCCAUGGCUACUGUCAUUCCCCACUCCCCAGAGCCAGCUCUCCUUUGGCGUCCCUGUGCCCUGCUCCCAGAGCCACCCCAGGAGCAGGGGUGAGGUUAGAGACAUGGUAGCAUGGGACCCUGAAGGGGCCCUCUGCUUGCCAAGCCCAGCUGGGGCAUCCACGGAGAGUCCACACGAAUGACCCCCAGCACUUAAGCAGCGGGCCUCCAAUGCUCCAGCUGUUCCAAACACUUACCAGAUGGUAAUCUAUCAUAGCAGAUACUAUCAUUACUCCCCUUUAGAGAUGGGGAGAUUGAGACCCAGAGAGGCGAAGUAACUUGUCCAAUGCCACACAGCUUGAAACUGGCAGAUUUGAGAUUUGAGCCCAUCAUCUGGGCCAGUGUGCCACUGGAACACCGGAGACGGCCACCCCCUUACUUAAUUCCACUCACCCAUCACCUCUUCCCUCGGCCACUGACAGGUGCCUUCUGUCAUGUCUCCAGCCACAUCCUCGGGACACGGCUGUGUUCUCGCUGCAAGAAAGGACAAGUGCCCGGGGCGGAGGGCCCCAGGUUGAAGCCCCUCUGCCUGCUUUCCCUGCCCUGCGGGCCCAGUCUCCUCCCCACCUGGGAACCCUUCAGGGAUGCUAUGAUCUGAACGUUUGUGUCCCCCCCGCCAAAUUCAUGUGUUGAAAGCUAACCCCCAAGGUGAUGGCAUUAGGAACUGGGGCCUUUCGGAGGUGAUUAGGUCAUACACGGGCUUAGCGCCUUUAUAAAAAUGGCCCCGGAGAGAUCCCUCGCCCCGCUUCUAGCAUGUGAAGACACAACAAGAAAUCAGCAGCCUGCAACCCAGAGGACCCUCAGCCGGCCAUACUGCCACCCUGACCUUGGACUUCCAGCCUCCAGCCUCCAGAAAUGUGACAAAUAAAUUCUCGGGUUUAUAAGCCACUGACCUGGUCUGUGCCAUUUUGUUAUAGUGGCCCCAAAGGACUAAGAGAAGUGGCUUAGUGUGGCCACCUCGCUGCCAGGACGAUCUGAGGCAGCAGGUCUGGGGGCAGGUCUGGAAGCACUCUCAGCUCGGAGGGGCCGCCUGAGACCGUGGCCUGCAAACCUGCACCUGCUUCCGGGCUGAGGAUGUGAAUGGGACACCCAGAAGUGGGGGGCGGGAGGGGGUGAGGGAAAGAAUUGCCUCCAGCGCCGGCCCUACCUGUCUCCUUCGUCACCCCUCCUUGUCUGCAUCAGCUGCUCUAGGAGCAGACCCUGCCCAGCCCCCUGCCACCUUCUCCUUGCCUUUUCUCCUCCAGCCCGGACCCUCUCUUCCAUCAACACACACAGCCUUGGUUCACUUCCAUCCAAUGAGGAAACGUCCACAACACCGCUGGGCACAGGGCCCGGCAGGAAACUCUUUCUCCUCCUUCAGAACUCAACAGAGGUGUCGCUUCAGGCAGUGAGGGGCCCCCACCCCGGCUGCCACAGUGCUCUGCUCACGCUUCUCAGAAAACUUUCCUAGAGGUUCUGAUGCUGUGGGUUUGUUUGGUGUCUCUAGACCCAGCUCGAAAGGGUGCACAGGUGUUCAGUAAGCAUUGAUUGAUUGAAGGAAUGAGUGGGAGCAGUUCCCAGGACUCCUAGAAGAACAUGGGCCAGGCUGGGCCAAGCUUGGGUUUCCCUUCCUACCUCUCCAGGUUAGCAAUACUUACCUCCAGGAGAAAACCAAAAGACAAGCAGGAGGUGGGUGUCCACAGAGGAUGGUGGGAGUGGGAAGGUACCACCCUCUAUUCAUCAACUGAACACAAUCCCGGGAGACUUUCUGGAGGAGGGCGAUGGUCUGGUGUCUCCUAACCCUCGGGGAACCAUGGCAGACAAUUUUGUAGCUUGGGGUAUCCCAUGGACAGUCCUGGGGUGCUAGUGCUGAAUCUCUCCACCUCCAAUUCCACAUUCCAGGUUCCAGGUACUCAGGUGUCUCAAGAGAGCUCUUCCUCAAUAUGAAAAAUCUAGGCCAGCUGCAAAGAAAAGACGGUAGAUGUCUCUGCCAGCUGUCUCCUGGACAUUGGCAGGUGGCCAACACUCACAACCCAGGCAGGGCUUGCCUUGACCUGGCCUGACAAUUCAUUCUGGUCACUGUGGCAAAGGGGAUAGCUACCCAGGAGGCUUAGGCAGGUCUAUGGCUAGCUGCCCAAAUCAAUGGGAAUGCCCCAGUUACCUCUCAGGGAGGGCAAAUAAUGAUGGCCUCAACACACUCAGCCCUCAGAUCAGAGCUCCAGAACUUCCCAUGUCAGACCUUGCAGUGGUUCGGGGGCGACUAUACUCACCCACAGCCCUGCUUCUUGACCCCUGCUCUCUACUCCAACCUAGUCUGACAUGGAUUAGAUAGUAGAGACACUCAGCAAAAACUCUGUCUUGAUCCAAUAUGGCGCUCAGAGUGGGGAAUCUGGGGUCCAAAUAGAAGCUGGAUAAUUCCCAUUUCUUCAUAGGCUCUUGGUGUGAAGAAGUGUCAAUAUCAUGGAGUCCAUUCUUCCUACUUGGUAUUCUAAGGGUUGAGUUUCCUAUAUAACAUUUCCAGAGCAGAGUGGUUACUCAGUCUUUGCGUGAACUCCUCCAGUGAUAGGGACCUUACCACCUUACAAAGCAGCUAGUUUCAUCCCCCGGCAGUUCUCAUUGCUGGAGAGUUCACCCUUACAUGAUCCUUCCUUACACCGUGUUGCAUCUGUUUCCUGCUCUCUCCGUCUAUGGUCCCCACAGAAGAUGGCCAUUCCCUGUUCUUCAUGGCUUUUCAGAGAUUUGAAGGUAGCUACUGGGUCACUUCCUCUAAGAAAGAACAUCAUGGGGAUUAACAGGAGGAAAAUCCAGUCCUUUCAGACCUCAGGGAGGGUUUGCCCUGCUACAGAGAAACUGCUUUUCUAUCCUUCUCUGUGGGCCUGUGCACGGGCCCAGGGCAACAAUAUGGUGAGUCUCUAGGCUCUUUGGACUACAGACACAUAGCAAGCACAUAGCCUUGCUAGGUGGGAGAACCUCAGCCUACUGUCUUCGUCCCAGGGGAGUGUUUCUGGGUCCCGGGAACCUGGCGAUAAGGACAUGGUGUCCUAGAGAGAGAGAGCUCUGUACUCAGAAUUUGACCACAAGGCCCCCAGUCUUGGUUCCACCCCUUCCUGGUUGGGAUCCUAUAAGCAGGUUGCUUAAAUUCUGAGCUUUAGUUUUGCCCUUUGUAAAGUGGGAAAAUAUCUCAUUGUGUUGCUAUGAGGAUCAAAUGACAUCAUAUAUAGGAAGAUGCUUUGUCAACCAAAACAUACUCUACAAAUGAUUAGCCAAUUCAAGUGGUUAGUAAAAGGGCUUGCAGAGCUUAGAGCUUCUUUGGUCUGGGCCUUCCUAGCGGAUGAGUGUCUGGAGCACAGCUGGUUUUAAGAAGGCUUCUGACUCCUUCUCAAACCCCAUGGCUGGUCUGUGGCACCUGGAGGGGCUCUCUACUGAGGGUUCAUGGUCCCAUCCUGUAUGACUCCUGCAGGGCCGCUGUGCCCACAUCUCCAGAGAGGACUCCGGCCCAAGUACCUUACCCCAGGCUUUGGAGACCCGGAAAGAGUGGUUUCUCCGUCCUGAAACACCCUAAUAAAGUCCUUACAUGUAAUGCAUCACUCUUGUCUUGAGCAAUCUGAAGGACAUCACGGUGGACCCCAAGCAACAUGUUGAUAUCCUCACGGAGCCAAGCUCGAGGGUGAGCCCUGUUCCCCACAUAGGAGUGAUCGCCUGGCAGCAGAGGCUCAGGGUGAGGACACCAUCUUGCCCUGGUUGCAAAGGACAUUGAGGUGAGGCUGCCUCAGCCUUCACUGUCCUGGCCUUCCUUUCCACGCCAUCCGUGCCCCGACUCCACCCGUAUUAGGUAAUAUUAUCCACGUUACACAAAUGAGGAAACUGAGGCUUCAGAGGUUUAUAACUUGGGCUCCAUCACCCGACUAGUGAGCGAGGGAGGCAAACUUCGAAUCCAGAUCUGACAGCUGGCUCCAUGCUCUCCAUUGGAUCAUCCUGCUGCGGAAAGUCUACACCAGCCUGGGGAUUACAGCCUAGAACACCUCAUCUGGGCUGCUAACCUCAGAUAGAGAUCAAAGAGACAUUGUCAUGGGAGAAUGGCUUUUUGAGAUCAGAGCCUCUUAUCAGUGGAAUUGUAUUUCACCCCCCUUCCCCAAAUUCAUAUGUUGAAGUCCUAAUGUGACUGAAUUCGGAGACAGGGUCUUUAAAGAGCUAAUUAAGUUAAAACGAGGUCAUCUGGGCCCUAAUCCCAUGUGACCGGUAUCCUUAUAAGAAGAGAUCAGAACACAGCCACAGGGAAGGCCAUGUGAAGACACAGAGAGAAGGCAGCCAUAGGGAAAACCAAGGGGGAGAGCCUUCAAAACUCCUGAAGACACCUUGAUCUUGGGCAUCUCUCUCCAGAACUGUGAGAAAAUAAGUAUCUGUGUUUAAGCCAUCCGGUCGGUUAUGGCAGCCCUUCAAAUGAACUCAGAGCCCCUUUUAAAAAUCAUCUUUGUGGGGCGCCUGGGUGGCUCAGUUAAGCAUCCAACUUCAGCUUGGG